GUACGGGGGGGGGCAAGCGUUGUUCGGAAUUACUGGGCGUAAAGGGCCAGUAGGCGGCCAACUAAGUCGGAUGUGAAAUCCCCAGGCUUAACCUGGGAACUGCAUCCGAUACUGGAUGGCUUGAAUUCGGGAGAGGGAUGCAGAAUUCCAGGUGUAGCGGUGAAAUGCGUAGAUAUCUGGAGGAACACCGGUGGCGAAGGCGGCAUCCUGGACCGGCAUUGACGCUGAGGAGCGAAAGCCAGGGGAGCAAACGGG
rnacentral:rRNA from 1 species